rnacentral:rRNA from 1 species
GAUGAACGCUGGCGGCGUGCCUAAUACAUGCAAGUCGAGCGAACAGACGAGGAGCUUGCUCCUCUGACGUUAGCGGCGGACGGGUGAGUAACACGUGGAUAACCUACCUAUAAGACUGGGAUAACUUCGGGAAACCGGUGCUAAUACCGGAUAAUAUAUUGAACCGCAUGGUUCAAUAGUGAAAGACGGCUUUGCUGUCACUUAUAGAUGGAUCCGCGUCGCAUUAGAUAGUUGGUAAGGUAACGGCUUACCAAGGCGACGAUGCGUAGCCGACCUGAGAUGGUGAUCGGCCACACUGGAACUGAGACACGGUCCAGACUCCUACGGGAGGCAGCAGUAGGGAAUCUUCCGCAAUGGGCGAAAGCCUGACGGAGCAACGCCGCGUGAGUGAUGAAGGUCUUCGGAUCGUAAAACUCUGUUAUUAGGGAAGAACAAAUGUGGAAGUAACUAUGCACGUCUUGACGGUACCUAAUCAGAAAGCCACGGCUAACUACGUG